rnacentral:lncRNA from 1 species
AUGUUCUAUGUACCCAGGAUACCAUCCAUCAGAUCAUGGUUAUCUCACUUUGAAUUCAUCCUGUGUGAAUUGCUGCUCCAUCAGCGGCUGCCAACCCUCCCCAUGACUUGGUGCCCUGGGAGUGGUGCUGUCUGUGUUUGGUCAGUGUGGGCAAGCCCCAGUGCCACACAUGGCCUAGAGAAGCACUCAGCACGCGAGCUGCUCACUGUGACACAUCUGGGACCAUUGGAGAUGUCACACCGUAUAUACAGUCACACACAGUGAGUGCUCAGUAAGUGGAUCAUGCCCAGUUUUUUCCAUGGAGUGUAACAGAAUAGAACCUGUUGUUGGGCCUUCAUUAGUUUCAAGCAUUACCCAUUUGGCAAUCCAAGCUAAAGAAUCCAGCAUCUGUGUAUUUACCCUCGACCAAAGAAUAGCCCUCCUGUAUCAUCAAGGAAAGAUUAUCUGGAUAAAUUGAACUUUUCCAUCAGAAGCUUAUCUGAUAUAUCUAUCCCGCUUGAGGGCCAGCUCCCAAGCUAGAAUGCCUUUACACAUGGCUGUAAGUAACUCACCUAAUUAGCCCAGAUCAAGGCGUGAUCAGGAGGGAGUAGGUGUAAAACUAAAAUUGGUUAAUUUGGUUCCUCAUUAGUAGUUCUGUCUAUGGAAUAUCUGGAGGAGGAUUAGGGGUGUUUCAUGCUCUAAAUUUAUCCAUGUAAUCACUCUGCCAAAUUCUAUAAUGUGGGAAUUGCACUGAAACUUGGCAACCCCGAGAACUAGUAUUUCAAAACCUGCUGCGAUAGAUAACCCAGGCAUAGGAGGGAGGGCAUUGGGUGGCUUGCACUUAUUUUUUUCUCCUUGAUCCUGGAUUUUGGAAGAUCCAGAGAAAACACUAGUCCUGUCUGGUUCCCCUGGUGACAUUUCUCUUCCUCCUCCCUGUGCCUUUCCUCCUAGCCCUCCUCCCCACGCCCCUGGCCGUGUCUUUCUCUCUAAUUAUCUGUUGCUCACUGUCACUCUCCUUCUGCCUGACUGUGUCUGUCAGCUCAUUUGUUUGCUUUUUUUCCACAAGGAGAAAAAUGGGCACUUGCCAUCCUCUAUUGAGACUUAAAAAUAUUACUGAUAUCAUCAUUUAUACCAUUUUUAGCCUUAUAAAAAGAAAACCUUCAGGUAGUAGUCAUGGCAGUUUUUAAAUUUCACUUUGCAAGCCAUUGAAACUAGAGAGUCUUUAGUUUAGAUGUUGUGGAAAAGAAAGGUAAUCUAUAAACCAUUUUGAAUUCCUUGGGAGAUUUCAUUUGACUUGAAGGUUGCUAGUCCUUUAUAAUAAAAUGAAUCUGCUUAUCUGUUGAUCCUGCA